rnacentral:rRNA from 1 species
GACGAACGCUGGCGGCGUGCUUAACACAUGCAAGUCGAACGAUGAAGUUCCUUCGGGAAUGGAUUAGUGGCGAACGGGUGAGGAACACGUGAGAAACCUGCCCAUCAUUCUGGGAUAACACCGGGAAACCGGUGCUAAUACCGGAUACUCCAUCGCGGCGGCAUCGCUGCGCUGGGAAAGAAUUUCGAUGAUGGAUGGUCUCGCGGCCUAUCAGCUUGUUGGUGAGGUAAUGGCUCACCAAGGCGACGACGGGUAGCCGGCCUGAGAGGGCGACCGGCCACACUGGGACUGAGACACGGCCCAGACUCCUACGGGAGGCAGCAGUGGGGAAUAUUGGGCAAUGGACGCAAGUCUGACCCAGCGACGCCGCGUGAGGGAUGAAGGCCUUCGGGUUGUAAACCUCUUUCAGUGGGGAAGAAGCGAAAGUGACGGUACCCAAAGAAGAAGCACCGGCUAACUAUGUGCCAGCCGCCGUAAGAC